rnacentral:rRNA from 1 species
UUAGUGGCGGACGGGUGAGUAACGCGUGGGGAACCUGCCUUGCACCGGGGGAUAACACUUAGAAAUAGGUGCUAAUACCGCAUAAGCGCACAGAGCCGCAUGGCUCGGUGUGAAAAACUCCGGUGGUGCAAGAUGGACCCGCGUCUGAUUAGCUGGUUGGCGGGGUAACGGCCCACCAAGGCGACGAUCAGUAGCCGGCCUGAGAGGGUGAACGGCCACAUUGGGACUGAGACACGGCCCAAACUCCUACGGAAGGCAGCAG